CAUCACAGAGUAGGUCAAGCCUCGCCCACAAUACUGCCGGGGAUGGGGAAGGAGGGAGGGCACAGUGAGUCCGUUAACUGAAUAUGCCACUUGUCCAUCACCGUGGCCGGUUUAUCACCAUUUAGAGGACAAUGAAUCCAGGCAGUGAUCCACCAAUGAUAACUAACAUCAUAAAAAGAUACAUGGCCGGAUAUGAUGUUCCUUCUGACGGAAGACCACAACACCUGCUGAAAAAUCAAAUCUGAAUCGGAUCAAGCCUCUAGAGGUAACUCCCAGCUAUAGGAAUUAGAGAACUGGGGGGCAUGUUAAUAUGUCAAGGUGUUUAACCCUCACCACAGGGAGGCGGCCAGAUUUCCUCUCAGGAAAAAAGUUACAGGUUUCAUCAACAAAGUGGAAGGAAAAGGAAUAAAAGAAAAAAAAAACAAAACAUAAGGAGAAUUUAUAGAUUAACAGAAGCUUAAGAGAAAUAUCAGCCAAUUACAACAUAUGGACUUUGGAUUCUGAUUCUUGCGAACAAACUACACUACAGUGACAAUAAAAAUGAGACGUAUUCAUGAGACAAUUGGGGAAAUUUGAACACUGAAUGGAUACUUAACAUCAAGGAAUUGUUUUUAAUUUUUGAGCAAUGUGAAAAUCGUGUUUGGGAUUAUGCUUUAAAAGAGUCCUAAUUGUUGAGGGAUUCAUACAGAAACAUUUAUCGAUGAAUUAAUGAGGCCAGGCACAGUGGCUCAUGCUUGUAAUCCCAGCACUUUGGGAGGCCGAGGCAGGCAGAUCACCUGAGGCCAAGAAUUAAAGACCAGCUUGGUCAACACGGCAAAACCUCAUCUCUACCAAAAAUACAAAAAUUAGCCGGGCAUGGUAGCACACUCCUGUAGUCCCAGCUACUCGGGAGGCCGAGGCAUGAGAAUUGCUUGAACCCGGAUGAAGCCUGUUCCCAGCUACUCGGGAGGCUGAGGCAUGAGAACUGCUUGAAUCCAGAUGGAGGAAGUUGCAGUGAGUGGAGAUCGCGCCACUGCACUCCAGCCUGGGCGACAGAGCAAGACUGUCUCAAAUAAUAAUAAUAAUAAUAAAGAUGUCUGGGAUGUGCUUUAAAAUAAUUCAUUGCAGAGAGAAGAAGGAAGUAAAAGUUUGGAUGAAACAAGGAGGCAGCACCCAGGGUCAUUCCUGGAGCAUAAACGAUCCCUGCAGAACAUGGGCUAGAAGACCCCACAGUGGGGCAGAGGCAGGUCCUGGACUGGGAUCCCAGCAGUGAGAAGACCUGGACAUCAACCCUAUUUCAUUGUGCCUCUGCAAAUCUCCCAACUUUUGGAGCUGUAGCUGCAAGCUCAGACUUGUGGUUUCCUGUACCUGGAGGAGGCCCAGGUCAUUCUGUUAAGUCCCUUGUCUAUUUCCUGCUUUUAUCUGGAUGCUGAGUUAAUUAUUUGAUCCAACAAUAAAACUAACAAGGUUUU
rnacentral:lncRNA from 1 species